rnacentral:rRNA from 1 species
AUUGAACGCUGGCGGCAGACCUAACACAUGCAAGUCGAACGGUAGCACAGAGAGCUUGCUCUCGGGUGACGAGUGGCGGACGGGUGAGUAAUGUCUGGGAAACUGCCUGAUGGAGGGGGAUAACUACUGGAAACGGUAGCUAAUACCGCAUAACGUCGCAAGACCAAAGAGGGGGACCUUCGGGCCUCUUGCCAUCAGAUGUGCCUAGAUGGGAUUAGCUAGUAGGUGGGGUAACGGCUCACCUAGGCGACGAUCCCUAGCUGGUCUGAGAGGAUGACCGGCCAGACUGGAACUGGGACACGGACCAGACUCCUACGGGAGGCAGCAGUGGGGAAUAUUGCACAAUGGGCGCAAGCCUGAUGCAGCCAUGCCGCGUGUAUGAAGAAGGCCUUCGGGUUGUAAAGUACUUUCAGCGGGGAGGAAGGGAGUAAGGUUAAUAACCUUAUUCAUUGACGUUACCCGCAGAAGAAGCACCGGCUAACUCCGUGCCAGCCGCCGCGGUAA